rnacentral:rRNA from 1 species
CGCCGCAAUUGUUCUGCACGCUAAGAAUUCGUGAACUAAUGAGCAAUUCGCUUAAGGACGGACCCUGCGUCCCAUUCAGCUAGUUCGGUGAGGGUUAACGGGCUCACCCCAGGUCUACCGACCGGGUAGGGGAACCCCUGAGAGGGGUGGCCCCCCCCACCUAUGGAACAUGAAACACGGGUCCAUACACCUACGGGUGGCAGCAGUAGGUNAUAUUGCACAAUGGGCGAAAGCCUGAUGCAGCAACGCCGCGUGCGCGAUGAAGGUCUUCGGAUCGUAAAGCGCUUAUCUGAGAGAUGAGAAAGGACAGUAUCUCAGGAAUAAGUCUCGGCUAACUACGUGCCAGCAGCCGCGGUAAAACGUAGGAGGCGAGCGUUAUCCGGAUUCACUGGGCGUAAAGCGCGUGCAGGUGGUUCGGUAAGUUGAGCGUGAAAUCUCCCGGCUCGACUGGGAGAGGUCGUUCCAUACUACCGGACUUGAGAGCAGAAGAGGAAGAUGGAAUUCCCGGUGUAGUGGUGAAAUGCGUAGAUAUCGGGAGGAACACCAGUGGCGAAGGCGAUCUUCUGGUCUGUUUCUGACACUCAGACGCGACAGCUAGGGUAGUAAACGGGAUUAGAGACCCCGGUAAUCCUAGCCGUAAACGAUGUGAACUUGGCGUUGGUGGGUUAAACUCCAUCAGUGCCGAAGCAAACGCGAUAAGUUCACCGCCUGGGGACUACGGCCGCAAGGUUAAAACUCAAAGGAAUUGACGGGGGCCCGCACAAGCAGCGGAGCGUGUGGUUUAAUUCGAUGCUACACGAAGAACCUUACCCAGGCUUGACAUACAGGUGGUAGAGAUCCGAAAGGUGACCGACCCGCAAGGGAGCCUGUAACAGGUGUUGCAUGGUCUGUCGUCAGCUCGUGUCGCCAU